rnacentral:rRNA from 1 species
GAUGAACGCUGGCGGCGUGCCUAAUACAUGCAAGUCGAGCGGACAGACGAGGAGCUUGCUCCUCUGACGUUAGCGGCGGACGGGUGAGUAACACGUGGAUAACCUACCUAUAAGACUGGGAUAACUUCGGGAAACCGGAGCUAAUACCGGAUAAUAUAUUGAACCGCAUGGUUCAAUAGUGAAAGACGGUUUUGCUGUCACUUAUAGAUGGAUCCGCGCCGCAUUAGCUAGUUGGUAAGGUAACGGCUUACCAAGGCGACGAUGCGUAGCCGACCUGAGAGGGUGAUCGGCCACACUGGAACUGAGACACGGUCCAGACUCCUACGGGAGGCAGCAGUAGGGAAUCUUCCGCAAUGGGCGAAAGCCUGACGGAGCAACGCCGCGUGAGUGAUGAAGGUCUUCGGGUCGUAAAGCUCUGUUAUUAGGGAAGAACAAAUUUGUAAGUAACUAUGCACGUCUUGACGGUACCUAAUCAAGAAGCCACGGCUAACUACGUG